GGUUCUAUGGUGUAGUGGUUAGCACAUCGGAUUCUGAUCUCUUUUCCUCUAUCUUCCGGGGACCCCGGUUCAAUUCCGGGUAGGACCU